rnacentral:rRNA from 1 species
CAGCCGCCGCGGUAAUACAGAGGGUGCGAGCGUUAAUCGGAUUUACUGGGCGUAAAGCGUGCGUAGGCGGCUUCUUAAGUCGGAUGUGAAAUCCCUGAGCUUAACUUAGGAAUUGCAUUCGAUACUGGGAAGCUAGAGUAUGGGAGAGGAUGGUAGAAUUCCAGGUGUAGCGGUGAAAUGCGUAGAGAUCUGGAGGAAUACCGAUGGCGAAGGCAGCCAUCUGGCCUAAUACUGACGCUGAGGUACGAAAGCAUGGGGAGCAAACAGGAUUAGAUACCCGAGUAGUCCCUGUAUCUUAUAC